UCCUACGGGAGGCAGCAGUGGGGAAUCUUGGACAAUGGGCGCAAGCCUGAUCCAGCCAUGCCGCGUGAGUGAUGAAGGCCCUAGGGUCGUAAAGCUCUUUCGCCAGAGAUGAUAAUGACAGUAUCUGGUAAAGAAACCCCGGCUAACUCCGUGCCAGCAGCCGCGGUAAUACGGAGGGGGUUAGCGUUGUUCGGAAUUACUGGGCGUAAAGCGCACGUAGGCGGAUUGGAAAGUUGGGGGUGAAAUCCCAGGGCUCAACCCUGGAACUGCCUCCAAAACUAUCAGUCUAGAGUUCGAGAGAGGUGAGUGGAAUUCCGAGUGUAGAGGUGAAAUUCGUAGAUAUUCGGAGGAACACCAGUGGCGAAGGCGGCUCACUGGCUCGAUACUGACGCUGAGGUGCGAAAGUGUGGGGAGCAAACAGGAUUAGAUACCCUGGUAGUCCACACCGUAAACGAUGAAUGCCAGUCGUCGGGUAGUAUACUAUUCGGUGACACACCUAACGGAUUAAGCAUUCCGCCUGGGGAGUACGGUCGCAAGAUUAAAACUCAAAGGAAUUGACGGA
rnacentral:rRNA from 1 species